GAAUUCAAGCGUGGUUUUAUUAAAAAGAAUCUUUUAAUAGUCUUUAUAUAUUUAAUUUAUAAAAUAAUAAAUUAUAGAAGAAAAAUUUUAAAUAUUUUCAAAAAUAUGAAACAAGUUAUUAAUUUUAAACUUGGCGAUGCUUGUGCCAGCCGCCGCGGUUAUACAAGCAAGUUAAUUUUUUUAAUUUUAUAAAGAAAAAAAAAUUAAUAGAGUAAUAAUCUUCAUAGGUGAAAUUAAAAAGAUUUAAAAAAUAUUUUAUUUAUUGUGUCUUAAAAAUUUAUUAAUAAACUAGGAUUAGAUACCCUACUAUUGUAAGCUUAAUUUUGUUAGUAUAUAUUAUUUAUGAAAACAAAAAGUUUUGGCGGUAUUUUAAGCUUUUUAGAGGAAUUUGCUCUGUAAUGGAUAAAACCCCUAAAUCUUACUUAAUCUAGUUAGGAUCAGUUUGUAUACCACUAUGAUUAAUUAUAUUUAAUAAUUAAUUAUUACAAUUUUUUUAAAAAAAGAAAAUUAAGUCAAGGUGCAACUUAAGGUUAUGAAUGAAGUGAAUUACAUUGAUUUUUAUAAUAAAAACCAAUUGAAAUAUUUUAAAAUAGGAUUUAAAAGUAAAUAAUAAAUAUUAUGUUUUAUUGAAUAAAGCUCUAAAAUAUGCACAUAUCGCCCGUCGCUCUCUUUCAAGAGAUAAGUCGUAACAAAGUAAAAAUACUGGAAAGUGUUUUU
rnacentral:ncRNA from 1 species